rnacentral:misc_RNA from 1 species
UGAGAAUACGCUCUCUUCUAGAGGUAUGCCCGGUUCUGGGUCGGCUGUUAGAAUCAUUCAAGCGCCCAGUCCGGGAACCCGGGCGGAAGUAUUCGAGGUUGAGACCAGUCCGGAGCUUGAAACGCAACUUCAGGGGGCGACCCCUUUAGGGCAGCACGAGGAGGCGCGCAGAAGGGAGGAGGAGGUGGGGCAAGCCUCUAGUCCCCUUCUAGACAAUGAACACGAUCCUAUCCAAGUUGACGAGCUUCUAGAUGAGAUUACCAAAGUCCUUCAUAAAUUGGAACCCUCAAAACUACAAAAAGCCAAAUUGGAACGCUUGUUAGAGCCUGUUAAGCUAGACCUAUCCGACGCGCCGGAAGAACUCCUAUACACUGUCCUUGAUAAAAUCAAAGAGCUGGAGUCUGCAAAAUUUUCCAAUAAGAAAGGCCGCAGGCUCCAGGCAAUUUCCAAUUUACUUAAUUUGAUCCGCGAAUGGAAGACGAGAAAUUGAGAAUCGCUCAUCCAAUUACUACACGAAGCUAUUGCCUUAUUUGCAUUAAUGAUGGCCUUUUUGAUCUUA